rnacentral:rRNA from 1 species
GACGAACGCUGGCGGCGUGCUUAACACAUGCAAGUCGAACGGUGAAGCGCCUUCCUUUUUGGUGGGUGUGGAUGAGUGGCGAACGGGUGAGUAACACGUGAGUAACCUGCCCCCUUCUUCUGGAUAACCGCAUGAAAGUGUGGCUAAUACGGGAUAUUCUGGGUCUGUCGCAUGAUGGGUCUGGGAAAGAUAUUGUUUCGGUGGGGGAUGGGCUCGCGGCCUAUCAGCUUGUUGGUGGGGUGAUGGCCUACCAAGGCGGUGACGGGUAGCCGGCCUGAGAGGGUGGACGGCCACACUGGGACUGAGACACGGCCCAGACUCCGACGGGAGGCAGCAGGGGGGAAUAUUGCACAAUGGGCGCAAGCCUGAUGCAGCGACGCCGCGUGAGGGAUGGAGGCCUUCGGGUUGUGAACCUCUUUCGCCAGUGAAGCAGGCCUGCCUCGUUUGUGGGUGGGUUGACGGUAGCUGGAUAAGAAGCGCCGGCUAACUACGUG